rnacentral:rRNA from 1 species
GACGAACGCUGGCGGCGUGCUUAACACAUGCAAGUCGAACGGUGAAGCGCCUUCCUUUUUGGUGGGUGUGGAUGAGUGGCGAACGGGUGAGUAACACGUGAGUAACCUGCCCCCUUCUUCUGGAUAACCGCAUGAAAGUGUGGCUAAUACGGGAUAUUCUGGGUCUGUCGCAUGAUGGGUCUGGGAAAGAUAUUGUUUUGGUGGGCGAUGGGCUCGCGGCCUAUCAGCUUGUUGGUGGGGUGAUGGUCUACCAAGGCGGUGACGGGUAGCAGGCCUGGGAGGGUGUACGGUCACACUGGGACUGAGACACGGCCCAGACUCGUACGGGAGGCAGCAGUGGGGAAUAUUGCACAAUGGGCGCAAGCAUGAUGCAGCGACGCCGCGAGAGGGAUGGAGGCCUUCGGGUUGUGAACCUCUUUCGCCAGUGAAGCAGGCCUGCCUCGUUUGUGGGUGGGUUGACGGUAGCUGGAUAAGAAGCGCCGGCUAACUACGUG